rnacentral:rRNA from 1 species
CAGCAGCCGCGGGAAUACGAAGGGGGCUAGCGUUGCUCGGAAUCACUGGGCGUAAAGGGUGCGUAGGCGGGUCUUUAAGUCAGGGGUGAAAUCCUGGAGCUCAACUCCAGAACUGCCUUUGAUACUGAAGAUCUUGAGUUCGGGAGAGGUGAGUGGAACUGCGAGUGUAGAGGUGAAAUUCGUAGAUAUUCGCAAGAACACCAGUGGCGAAGGCGGCUCACUGGCCCGAUGCUGACGCUGAGGCACGAAAGCGUGGGGAGCAAACAGGAUUAGAUACCCGCGUAGUCCCUGUCUCUUAUAC